rnacentral:rRNA from 1 species
AAUUGAAGAGUUUGAUCAUGGCUCAGAUUGAACGCUGGCGGCAGGCCUAACACAUGCAAGUCGAGCGGUAGCACAGAGAGCUUGCUCUCGGGUGACGAGCGGCGGACGGGUGAGUAAUGUCUGGGAAACUGCCUGAUGGAGGGGGAUAACUACUGGAAACGGUAGCUAAUACCGCAUAACGUCGCAAGACCAAAGUGGGGGACCUUCGGGCCUCAUGCCAUCAGAUGUGCCCAGAUGGGAUUAGCUAGUAGGUGGGGUAAUGGCUCACCUAGGCGACGAUCCCUAGCUGGUCUGAGAGGAUGACCAGCCACACUGGAACUGAGACACGGUCCAGACUCCUACGGGAGGCAGCAGUGGGGAAUAUUGCACAAUGGGCGCAAGCCUGAUGCAGCCAUGCCGCGUGUAUGAAGAAGGCCUUCGGGUUGUAAAGUACUUUCAGCGAGGAGGAAGGCGUUAAGGUUAAUAACCUUAGCGAUUGACGUUACUCGCAGAAGAAGCACCGGCUAACUCCGUGCCAGCAGCCGCGGUAAUACGGAGGGUGCAAGCGUUAAUCGGAAUUACUGGGCGUAAAGCGCACGCAGGCGGUUUGUUAAGUCAGAUGUGAAAUCCCCGGGCUCAACCUGGGAACUGCAUUUGAAACUGGCAAGCUUGAGUCUUGUAGAGGGGGGUAGAAUUCCAGGUGUAGCGGUGAAAUGCGUAGAGAUCUGGAGGAAUACCGGUGGCGAAGGCGGCCCCCUGGACAAAGACUGACGCUCAGGUGCGAAAGCGUGGGGAGCAAACAGGAUUAGAUACCCUGGUAGUCCACGCUGUAAACGAUGUCGACUUGGAGGUUGUUCCCUUGAGGAGUGGCUUCCGGAGCUAACGCGUUAAGUCGACCGCCUGGGGAGUACGGCCGCAAGGUUAAAACUCAAAUGAAUUGACGGGGGCCCGCACAAGCGGUGGAGCAUGUGGUUUAAUUCGAUGCAACGCGAAGAACCUUACCUACUCUUGACAUCCAGAGAACUUAGCAGAGAUGCUUUGGUGCCUUCGGGAACUCUGAGACAGGUGCUGCAUGGCUGUCGUCAGCUCGUGUUGUGAAAUGUUGGGUUAAGUCCCGCAACGAGCGCAACCCUUAUCCUUUGUUGCCAGCGGUCCGGCCGGGAACUCAAAGGAGACUGCCAGUGAUAAACUGGAGGAAGGUGGGGAUGACGUCAAGUCAUCAUGGCCCUUACGAGUAGGGCUACACACGUGCUACAAUGGCAUAUACAAAGAGAAGCGACCUCGCGAGAGCAAGCGGACCUCAUAAAGUAUGUCGUAGUCCGGAUUGGAGUCUGCAACUCGACUCCAUGAAGUCGGAAUCGCUAGUAAUCGUAGAUCAGAAUGCUACGGUGAAUACGUUCCCGGGCCUUGUACACACCGCCCGUCACACCAUGGGAGUGGGUUGCAAAAGAAGUAGGUAGCUUAACCUUCGGGAGGGCGCUUACCACUUUGUGAUUCAUGACUGGGGUGAAGUCGUAACAAGGUAACCGUAGGGGAACCUGCGGUUGGAUCACCUCCUUA